CGACGAGUUCUGAUUAUUGAAAGGUGCUUGCAUCUUGAUUUAAUUUUGAACGAGUGGCGGACGGGUGAGUAACACGUGGGUAACCUGCCCUUAAGUGGGGGAUAACAUUUGGAAACAGAUGCUAAUACCGCAUAAAUCCAAGAACCGCAUGGUUCUUGGCUGAAAGAUGGCGUAAGCUAUCGCUUUUGGAUGGACCCGCGGCGUAUUAGCUAGUUGGUGAGGUAACGGCUCACCAAGGCAAUGAUACGUAGCCGAACUGAGAGGUUGA
rnacentral:rRNA from 1 species